AAGGAAGCGGUAAAUUUGUUUAUGUCUUCGGGUACUUUAAAGGCCUAUAAAUACUGAGGUGGUUCAGUCUCAGCAACAUCGUUGCACGGUAACCACACCGAAGAAUAAGUGAUCAGUGCCUGUUAUUCUUACAAAAUCAUGAAGAAGUCAUUUGUUUUGAUUUGUGUCACCUUACUGGUGUUUUUGUUAGCAACUGCAUUUGCUUAUCCUGCUUCGAGGGACAGUCUUGAUGAUUUAGCUGUGGCUGCUGACGAUUUUGUCUUCGAACCCUUGUUUUCGCUAAGAAGACACACGAAUGAGAAGAGACGAGUUUUUAAUUUCCGUCCUGACUAUGAAUACUAUCGCGACGAUUCAGACGAUUUUCCUACUGUAACGUAAUUGUCGAUUACCCAUUGUCGAUGCAAAACUAAAGAACUGAAACAUUUCAUCUUCGUCGUAAUUCUUAUUUAUUGCUGUAAUUUUUAAUAUUUUCUUAGUAAAUGUUAUAAAUAUUAUA